rnacentral:rRNA from 1 species
AAGCCCGGUAGGAUACUCGAUCUCCCUCGAGGCUGAUGCACGUAUGACGGAACUUAUUCGAGUAUGCGGGGAAAUGCAUAGCAUGAUCUCGAGGCACUCCUGAUUAGAGCAUGCAGCUUUUUAAACCCAUAAUCUGACGCUGAGGCACCGUAUGGUGUCGGGCAUCAAUCACGAUUAGAUACCCCCGGUACUUCAACGCAGUAGACGAUGAUAAGUCAUCCGUCUGCUAUAUCAAUGUCAUGCGGCUGACAGUAAAGCGUUGAGUCAUCCGCUUGGCGAGUACGUUACGCAAGAAUGAGAGUCGAACGAGUUGACGGGGGCCCGCACAAGCGGAGGAACAUGUGGUGUAGUUAGACGAUCAGCGAGGAACUUUACCCGCGCUUGGAAUGCAUCUGACCGGCCUUGAAAGAGCCUUUUCCUUCGGGGCAGAAGUGUAGUUGCGGCAUAGUGGUUGUCAGCUCAUGCCGUGAGGUGUCGGCUUAAGUCCCAUAACGAGCGCAACCCUCAUCAUUAGUUACCAUCAGGUGAAGCUGGGGACUCUAAUGAGACUGCCAUCGUAAGAUGCGAGGAAGGUGGGGAUGACGUCAAAUCAGCACGGCCCUUACGUCCGGGGUAUCACAUCUGUUACAAUGGGUGGUACAAAGGGCAUCUACCUGGCGACAGGAUGCCAAUCUCCAAAACCCCUUUCAGUUUGGAUCGGAGUUUGCAACUUGA